rnacentral:rRNA from 1 species
AGAGUUUGAUCCUGGCUCAGGAUGAACGCUAGCGGCAGGCCUAACACAUGCAAGUCGAGGGGUAGAGUUAGCUUGCUAACUUGAGACCGGCGCACGGGUGCGUAACGCGUAUGCAAUCUACCUUGUACAGGGGGAUAGCCCAGAGAAAUUUGGAUUAAUACCCCAUAGUAUAUUUGAAUCGCAUGGUUUAAAUAUUAAAGUUCCAACGGUACAAGAUGAGCAUGCGUCCCAUUAGCUAGAUGGUAAGGUAACGGCUUACCAUGGCAAUGAUGGGUAGGGGUCCUGAGAGGGAGAUCCCCCACACUGGUACUGAGACACGGACCAGACUCCUACGGGAGGCAGCAGUGAGGAAUAUUGGUCAAUGGACGCAAGUCUGAACCAGCCAUGCCGCGUGCAGGAAGACGGUCCUAUGGAUUGUAAACUGCUUUUAUACAGGAAGAAACAACUCUACGUGUAGAGUCUUGACGGUACUGUAGGAAUAAGGAUCGGCUAACUCCGUGCCAGCAGCCGCGGUAAUACGGAGGAUCCAAGCGUUAUCCGGAAUCAUUGGGUUUAAAGGGUCCGUAGGCGGCCUUAUAAGUCAGUGGUGAAAUCUCCUAGCUCAACUAGGAAACUGCCAUUGAUACUGUAGGGCUUGAAUUCUUAUGAAGUAACUAGAAUAUGUAGUGUAGCGGUGAAAUGCUUAGAUAUUACAUGGAAUACCAAUUGCGAAGGCAGGUUACUAAUAAGACAUUGACGCUGAUGGACGAAAGCGUGGGGAGCGAACAGGAUUAGAUACCCUGGUAGUCCACGCCGUAAACGAUGGAUACUAGCUGUUCGGACGCAAGUUUGAGUGGCUAAGCGAAAGUGAUAAGUAUCCCACCUGGGGAGUACGCACGCAAGUGUGAAACUCAAGGGAUUGACGG